CUCGUGGUUGUCCUGAAUGUCUACGUUGAUCACAUGCACAGGCUGGAAAGUCACCUGCUCUCUCGAGGUGAUGACCAGGUCAAACUUGUCCUUGCAGUUUUGGAAGCGCUCCGGCUUGGACUUGAUGCGCUUGUUGCGGUCCAGCAUGUGCAGGAUGCCGUUCUGUGUGUAUCUGAAGAGCGAGGUCGGUCAAGGAACACAGCAGGAGUGGUGGAGACACUUCAAGGUCAUACAACACAGUCAUCAGAAACUGGAUCUCAAACACCUCACUAAGACUGUGAAAAGGUAGACUCUGUAUUUUACUUGCACUUGGUGAGCGUGUAUAGGUGUCAACAGAAGGUACACACACACAGCUUCCAUAGUGUCUAUAUUAGUGACACAACAGCACCCCCUAGUGGGGUAAGAACAAAAAUACUACUUGUUAGUGGCUGGCAGAAAAAAAAAAAAGGGGAAGGAGGCGGACUGGCACGUCAUAGAAUCCAAGUAUCACGUGAGAAGUGCACAGACUACGAUUAAGCCAUUCAAUGACAUUUCAGUAUUUAAUGUGAAGGACAAAACCAUUGAUACUAGCAAGACUGUUACUAAACGGUGAGAGGACAAAAACAAAACAACUACAGUGGUCGUCUAGGAUGGGAUAUAUUUGCCCAAACUACAAGAAUACACAAUGUUUACAUAAAUAAACAAAACAGGUAUGAAAAGGCCAA